GGGGGUAUCGGCUAAUCGGCAGGCCGCCGUGUUCUCAGCGCGGAAACCGCGGGUUCGAAUCCCCGUACCCCUG
rnacentral:tRNA from 2 species